rnacentral:rRNA from 1 species
AGUGAACGCUGGCGGUAGGCCUAACACAUGCAAGUCGAACGGCAGCACAGAGGAGCUUGCUCCUUGGGUGACGAGUGGCGGACGGGUGAGGAAUACAUCGGAGUCUACUCUGUCGUGGGGGAUAACGUAGGGAAACUUACGCUAAUACCGCAUACGACCUACGGGUGAAAGCAGGGGACCUUCGGGCCUUGCGCGAUUGAAUGAGCCGAUGUCGGAUUAGCUAGUUGGCGGGGUAAAGGCCCACCAAGGCGACGAUCCGUAGCUGGUCUGAGAGGAUGAUCAGCCACACUGGAACUGAGACACGGUCCAGACUCCUACGGGAGGCAGCAGUGGGGAAUAUUGGACAAUGGGCGCAAGCCUGAUCCAGCCAUACCGCGUGGGUGAAGAAGGCCUUCGGGUUGUAAAGCCCUUUUGUUGGGAAAGAAAUCCAGCUGGCUAAUACCCGGUUGGGAUGACGGUACCCAAAGAAUAAGCACCGGCUAACUUCGUGCCAGCCGCCGCGGUAA